rnacentral:snoRNA from 1 species
ACAGGCUCCUAUCGAAGCCGUUCAUGCUUUCCUGUAGCAGUGAGCGGUCAAACGGAAGCCGAGAUGAAGACUUUCACCGACGGUCGCUGUUCAGUUUAAAAAUAUAACUGCUCCAGCAACAUUUAGGGGAAGGACACUU